rnacentral:rRNA from 1 species
GACGAACGCUGGCGGCGUGCUUAACACAUGCAAGUUGAGCGAUGAACCUUUCAUGAAUUUUUCGGAAUGAUUGGAAGAGGAUUAGCGGCGGACGGGGGAGUAACGCGUGAGCAACCUGCCUUAAACAACGGGAUAGCCUCGGGAAACCGGGAUUAAUACCGUAUGAGACCCCGCCUUCACAUGAAGAAGAGGUUAAAGAUUUAUCGGUUUAAGAUGGGCUCGCGUCUGAUUAGCUAGUUGGUGAGAUAAAAGCCCACCAAGGCAACGAUCAGUGACCGGCUUGCGAGCGAGAACGGUGACAUUGGAACUGAGGCACGGUACUAACUCCUACGGUAGGGAGCGGUAGUGAAUAUUGCACAAUGGGGGAAACCCGGAUGCAGCGAGGGCGCGUGGGCGAUGAAGGAUUUCGUUUCGUAACGCUCUGUCCAAGGGGAAGAUACUGACAGUACCCGUGGACGAAGCCCCGGCUAAGUACGUGCCAGCCGCCGCAGUAA